GGGAGUAUAGCUCAGUGGUAGAGUGAGUGCUUGACGUGCAUGAGAUCCUGGGUUCAAUUCCCAGUGCCUCCC
rnacentral:tRNA from 1 species